CAGUAGCGUAUAUUAAAGUUGUUGCAGUUAAAAAGCUCGUAGUUGGAUUUCUGGUACGCUGCGCCUGGCCCGCCCACGUUAGUGGUGUGAGUGUCGGUGCGCGGUUGCCAUCCUUCUAGAGAACGUGUCUACCUUUAAUUAGGCCGGGCUACGGGAUCUAGAUCAUUUACUUUGAGAAAAUUAGAGUGUUUCAGGCAGGCUAGGCCGGAAUACAUUAGCAUGGAAUAAUGGAAUAGGACUACGGUCUCUUUGUUGGUUUGAGGGACUGCAGUAAUGAUUAAUAGGGAUAGUUGGGGGCAUUAGUAUUUAAUUGUCAGAGGUGGAAUUCUCGGAUUUGUUAAAGACUAACUUAUGCGAAAGCAUUUGCCAAGGAUGUUUUCAUUAAUCAAGAACGAAAGUUAGGGGAUCAAAGAUGAUCAGAUACCAU
rnacentral:rRNA from 1 species